ACGGUAAGGAUUGACGGACUGAAGGAUCUUUCUCGAUUCCGUGGAAAGUGGUGCAUGGCCGUUUUUGGUUGGUGGAUCGAUCCGUCUGGUUAAUUCCGUUAACGAACGAGACCUCGGCACUCCGAAUAGCGCGGCGGACGUCGCGGCCUCCGGGCCGUCUUCCGCGCGAGCUUCUUAGAGGGACCGUCCCCCGCCGGGGAAGGAGGUUCGAGGCAACGACAGGUCUGUGAUGCCCUUAGAUGUUCUGGGCCGCACGCGCAUUACACUGACGCGUCCAACGGGCGACUCCCGGCCCGAAGGGGUCGGGGAAUCCGCAAGGCGCGUCGUGAUGGGGAUUGAACGUUGCAAUUGUUGUUCACGAACGAGGAAUUCCUAGUAGGCGCGGGUCAUCAACCCGCGCCGAUUACGUCCCUG
rnacentral:rRNA from 1 species